AUGAAUUUUUUUUUAUUAUUAAAAAUAUUUAUAAAAUAAAAGUUUUAGUAAAAAAUAGAAAAAACAAUGUUAAUUAUAAUUUAUUAGUAUUGUAUAAGAAAAUUGAAAAAUUGAAAAAUUUUUAUUUUAAAAGAAAAUUUAAUUUAUUGUACCUUGUGUAUCAGGGUUUAUUAAAUAAAGAUUAAUUAUAUUAAUUUUCUUGAUUUUAAAAGAGUUAAUAUAUUAUUAUAGUUAAUGUUACAAAAUUAUUUUUAAUAGUAUGUUGGAAAUGAAAUGUUAUUCGUUUUUAAAGGUAUCUAGUUUUUUAAUAAAUAAAUUUAAUUUAAAAAUUUUAUAUUAUUUAAUUGAAUAUAUAAUUAAAUAAUUAUUUAAUUUAAAUAUUUUAUAGGAUAAGCUUUAAAAUAAAAAUUUAAAAAUUAAUUAUUGUAUUAAUAAAUAUAGAUUUAGAAAUAGUUAUUAUUAUUAAGUUUGUUAUAAUUUAUUUUAUGUGAAUUAUUAUUUAUUAAAUUUUAAAUAUUUAUUAAAAUAGUUAUUUUAAUUUUUAAAAUAAGAUAAUAAUGAUAAAAUUAGUAUAUGUAUAUUUAUUUGUAUAUUUAAUUAUUAUAAAGAUAAGUUUUAAUAAAAAAUUCGGCAAAUAAAUUUUCGCCUGUUUAACAAAAACAUGUCUUUUUGUUUAUUUAGAAAGUUUAACCUGCCCAUUGAUAAUUAUUUAACGGCCGCAGUAUAUUAACUGUGCAAAGGUAGCAUAAUCAUUAGUCUUUUAAUUGAAGGCUUGAAUGAAUGGUUGGACGAGAUAUUAACUGUUUCAUUAAUAUUUAUAUUAAAAUUUUAUUUUUUAGUAAAAAAGCUAAAAUUUAUUUAAAAGACGAGAAGACCCUAUAAAUCUUUAUAAUUUUUUUAAUUAAUUUUUUUUAGAAGAUAUUAAUUUUAAUUAUAAAAAUUAUUUUAUUGGGGUGAUAUUAAAAUUUAAUUAACUUUUAAUUUUUUUUUUCAUUAAUUUAUGAAUAAUUGAUCUAUUAUUAAUGAUUAGAAGAAUAAGUUACUUUAGGGAUAACAGCGUAAUUUUUUUGGAGAGUUCAUAUCGAUAAAAAAGAUUGCGACCUCGAUGUUGGAUUAAGAUAUAAUUUUAGGUGUAGUAGCUUAAAUUUUAAGUCUGUUCGACUUUUAAAAUCUUACAUGAUCUGAGUUCAAACCGGUGUAAGCCAGGUUGGUUUCUAUCUUUAAAAAUUGUAAAUAUUUUAGUACGAAAGGAUCAGAUAUUUAAUAAAUUAUUAUUAGUAUAUUGAAUUUAAUUAAUU
rnacentral:rRNA from 1 species